UACAGAGGUCCCAAGCGUUGUUCGGAUUCACUGGGCGUAAAGGGUGCGUAGGUGGCGGGAUAAGUUUGAUGUGAAAUCUCCGGGCUUAACCCGGAAACUGCAUUGAAUACUAUUCUGCUCGAGGGUUGGAAGGGGGACUGGAAUACUUGGUGUAGCAGUGAAAUGCGUAGAUAUCAAGUGGAACACCAGUGGCGAAGGCGAGUCCCUGGACAACUCCUGACACUGAGGAGCGAAAGCAUGGGGAGCGAACAGG
rnacentral:rRNA from 1 species